ACGGAAAGACGGAGCAAUCUGCCACUUUGGGGAUGGGCCUGCGGCGCAUUAGCUAGUUUGGUGAGGUAACGGCUCACCAAGGCGACGAUGCGUAGCCGACCUGAGAGGGUGAUCGGCCACACUGGGACUGAGACACGGCCCAGACUCCUACGGGAGGCAGCAGUAGGGAAUCUUCCGCAAUGGGCGAAAGCCUGACGGAGCAAUGCCGCGUGAGUGAUGAAGGUUUUCGGAUCGUAAAGCUCUGUUGCCAGGGAAGAACGCUUGGGAGAGUAACUGCUCUCAAGGUGACGGUACCUGAGAAGAAAGCCCCGGCUAACUACGUGCCAGCAGCCGCGGUAAUACGUAGGGGGCAAGCGUUGUCCGGAAUUAUUGGGCGUAAAGCGCGCGCAGGCGCUCAUUUAAGUCUGGUGUUUAAUCCCGGGGCUCAACCCCGGAUCGCAGUGGAAACUGGAUGACUU
rnacentral:rRNA from 1 species